UACAGGGGGGGCAAGCGUUGUUCGGAAUUACUGGGCGUAAAGAGCUUGUAGGCGGUUUGUCGCGUCUGCUGUGAAAUUUCGGGGCUCAACCCCGAACUUGCAGUGGGUACGGGCAGACUAGAGUGUGGUAGGGGAGACUGGAAUUCCUGGUGUAGCGGUGAAAUGCGCAGAUAUCAGGAGGAACACCGAUGGCGAAGGCAGGUCUCUGGGCCACUACUGACGCUGAGAAGCGAAAGCAUGGGGAGCGAACAGG
rnacentral:rRNA from 1 species